ACGGAAGGCAGCAGUGAGGAAUAUUGGUCAAUGGGCGGGGGCCUGAACCAGCCAAGUAGCGUGAGGGAUGACGGCCCUAUGGGCUGUAAACCUCUUUUGACAGGGAAUAAAGUGAGCCACGUGUGGUUCAUUGCAUGUACCUGUGGAAUAAGGAUCGGCUAACUCCGUGCCAGCAGCCGCGGUAAUACGGAGGAUCCGAGCGUUAUCCGGAUUUAUUGGGUUUAAAGGGAGCGUAGGCGGGAUGUCAAGUCAGCUGUGAAAUGUAGUCGCUCAACGUCUGCACUGCAGUUGAAACUGGUGUCCUUGAGUGCGUAAGAGGCAGGUGGAAUUCGUCGUGUAGCGGUGAAAUGCAUAGAUAUGACGAAGAACUCCGAUUGCGAAGGCAGCCUGCUGGGCCGCUACUGACGCUGAAGCUCGAAGGUGCGGGUAUCAAACAGGAUUAGAUACCCUGGUA
rnacentral:rRNA from 1 species